rnacentral:rRNA from 1 species
UUUAUUGGAGAGUUUGAUCCUGGCUCAGGAUGAACGCUGGCGGCGUGCCUAAUACAUGCAAGUCGAGCGAAUGGAUUAAGAGCUUGCUCUUAUGAAGUUAGCGGCGGACGGGUGAGUAACACGUGGGUAACCUGCCCAUAAGACUGGGAUAACUCCGGGAAACCGGGGCUAAUACCGGAUAACAUUUUGAACUGCAUGGUUCGAAAUUGAAAGGCGGCUUCGGCUGUCACUUAUGGAUGGACCCGCGUCGCAUUAGCUAGUUGGUGAGGUAACGGCUCACCAAGGCAACGAUGCGUAGCCGACCUGAGAGGGUGAUCGGCCACACUGGGACUGAGACACGGCCCAGACUCCUACGGGAGGCAGCAGUAGGGAAUCUUCCGCAAUGGACGAAAGUCUGACGGAGCAACGCCGCGUGAGUGAUGAAGGCUUUCGGGUCGUAAAAC